rnacentral:rRNA from 1 species
GACGAACCGUGCGAACGUUGUUCGGAAUCACUGGGCUUAAAGGGCGCGUAGGCGGCUUGCCAAGUCAGGGGUGAAAUCCUGGAGCUCAACUCCAGAACUGCCUUCGAUACUGGCGAUCUUGAGUCCGGAAGAGGUGAGUGGAACUCCUAGUGUAGAGGUGGAAUUCGUAGAUAUUAGGAAGAACACCAGUGGCGAAGGCGGCUCACUGGUCCGGUACUGACGCUGAGGUGCGAAAGCGUGGGGAGCAAACAGG